rnacentral:rRNA from 1 species
GACGAACGCUGGCGGCGUGCUUAACACAUGCAAGUCGAACGGAAAGGCCUGCUUUCCCUUGUGGAUUGCGGGUACUCGAGUGGCGAACGGGUGAGUAACACGUGAGUGAUCUGCCCCCAACUUGGGUAUAAGCCUGGGAAACUGGGUCUAAUUCCCGAUAGGACUGCAGGGUGGUGCCUGUGGUGGAAAACGAUUUUCUAGUGGUUGGGGAUGAGCUCGCGGCCUAUCAGCUUGUUGGUGGGGUAAUGGCCUACCAAGGCGGCGACGGGUAGCCUGCCUGAGAGGGUGGACGGCCACAUUGGGACUGAGAUACGGCCCAGACGGCUAGGGGAGGCAGCAGUUGGGGAUAUUGCGCAAUGGGCGGGAGCCUGAUGCAGCGACGCCGCGUGGAGGAUGACGGCCUUCGGGUUGUAAACUCCUUUCGACCGCGAGGAAGCCGCCUGGUUGGAAGGGUGGUGACGGUAGUGGUAGAAGAAGCACCGGCUAACUACGUG